rnacentral:rRNA from 1 species
GACGAACGCUGGCGGCGUGCUUAACACAUGCAAGUCGAACGGAAGGGCCCUGCUUUUGUGGGGUGCUCGAGUGGCGAACGGGUGAGUAACACGUGAGUAACCUGCCCUUGACUUUGGGAUAACUUCAGGAAACUGGGGCUAAUACCGGAUAGGAGCUCCUGCUGCAUGGUGGGGGUUGGAAAGUUUCGGCGGUUGGGGAUGGACUCGCGGCUUAUCAGCUUGUUGGUGGGGUGGUGGCUUACCAAGGCUUUGACGGGUAGCCGGCCUGAGAGGGUGACCGGCCACAUUGGGACUGAGAUACGGCCCAGACUCCUACGGGAGGCAGCAGUGGGGAAUAUUGCACAAUGGGCGGAAGCCUGAUGCAGCAACGCCGCGUGCGGGAUGACGGCCUUCGGGUUGUAAACCGCUUUCGCCUGUGACGAAGCGUGAGUGACGGUAAUGGGUAAAGAAGCACCGGCUAACUACGU